rfam:Danio rerio chromosome 14, GRCz11 reference primary assembly.
UCUUUCAGCCAUAUCACCCUGCAGCUCAAGACCGGUUACUCACUGAAGCUAAGCAGGGCUGAGCCUGGUUCGUACCUGGAUGGGAGACCACAUGGGAACACUAGGUUGCUGUUGGAA